rnacentral:lncRNA from 1 species
GUAAGUACAGAUUCUUCUCCAGUGACGCCAAUGCCAACGUGAUACUACCUCUGUUACACUGAACACAUAUCCUAGAUCUAGAGGAACUUGAUUUACAAGUAGCAGAAUGUUCUGUUGGUGUUAUAAUUGGGGUGAUGUGUGUUCCAACUUCCACUGCCAACAAGGAACACAACUGCUUUACACAUUACAUUGGAGUCAACCAUACUGUUCUUCAGUCUAAUCCAGCUGAUCCCAGUUUUACCUGUUACUCCCUCAUCUCAUCCCACCAACUCUGUCAGUCCAGCAGGCCCCACAAUGCAGCCUCCACACCACUGCAGUAACAGCCACAUCUUCCCAUCACAAAGCUUCAGUACUAUCUCAAUGUGUUGAAUUACCAUCCAGGAUCCUGUGGCAACGUCAAUGUGAAACCGCAUUGACCCGUGAUCACCACCAACCAGGGCUCCACAGUGGUAUCCUUCGAUGCCCAGGCUUCGCUCAAGAUCAACUGAAGGAGAUUUGGAAGGAUCCCAGUGAG